rnacentral:lncRNA from 1 species
GAACAAGCUAGCUAGCUACCCGGAGGAGAAAAGGAACCGGCCGACAGUGGCGAGGAACAGGCGGGAUUGGAGACCUGGAUGUACGAAGUAAACAGAUUCGAGCUUCUCUCUGAAGGAGGUAGGUAGUUCCUCGUAGAUCGAUCGGAGAGACGAGAAUCCCAAGAAAUUCUCCGAUUUCUGGACUCUUGUGUGCACGUACACCAAACAGAACGGAACCACGUCGCCUUCAUCGGUGACGAGCUUUGGGAAGAUUCUCAUUUCCAAGUAUUUCCUCAAAUCCUCCUCCUUCACAACCU